rnacentral:misc_RNA from 1 species
GUUUUUAUUUUUAGGUUUUGAUUUGUGGGUUGGUACUUUAGAUGAAGGGGAUGCCCUUACCCUUUGAAUUUGAGGGGAAGGGGGUGUUAGAAUUAGACGUUUUGUUCAAUAAAGAUAGUAUCUUGAAUUCUUGGAGUAACCACAAUACCAGCAAAGAAAGUAGUAGUUGUUGUUACUUUGUAAAUAGUCCAAGUGCUGUCCUGGAUACUA